rnacentral:rRNA from 1 species
AUUGAACGCUGGCGGCAGGCUUUACACAUGCAAGUCGAACGGCAGCGCUGGCUUCGCCCUGUCUGCUAGUGGCCGACGGGUGAGUAGUUCAUCGAGACGUGCCCAGUAGUGGGGUAUAGCCCGGCUAACGCCGGAUUAAUACCGCAUACGACCUGUGCGUGAGAGCGGGGGACCCAAAGGCCUCGCGCUGUUGUAACGGCCGAGGUCGGAUUAGGCAGUUGGUGGGGUUAAGGCUUACCAAGGCGACGAUCAGUAGCUGGUCUGGGAGGACGACGAGCCACACUGGGACUGGGACACGGACAAGACUCCAACGGGAGCGAGAAGUGGGGAAGUUUGGAAUAUGGCGGCAACCCUGAGCCAGCCACGGCCCGUGAGCGUAGAAGGCCUUCGGGUUGUAAACCGUUUUUGUUCGGGAAGAAAUGCUAUGGGCUAAUACCCCGGGGGGAUGACGGUAACGGAAGAAUAAGCACCGGCCAAAUACGUG